CCAAUAGCGUAUAUUAAAGUUGUUGCAGUUAAAAAGCUCGUAGUUGAAUUUCGGGAUCAAUAUGUCGGUCGUGCCUUCGGUACGUACUGGUAUCAUUGGUCUCUCCUUUCUGACGAACCAUGAUGUCAUUAAUUUGGUGUUAUGGGGAGUUAGGACUGUUACUUUGAAAAAAUUAGAGUGUUUAAAGCAGGCUUUAGCUUGAAUACAUUAGCAUGGAAUAAUGAAAUAGGACGUUCGAACCUAUUUUGUUGGUUUCUAGGAUCAACGUAAUGAUUAAUAGGGGUAGUUGGGGGCAUUAGUAUUCAAUUGUCAGAGGUGAAAUUCUUGGAUUUAUUGAAGACUAACUACUGCGAAAGCAUUUGCCAAGGAUGUUUUCAUUAAUCAAGAACGAAAGUUAGGGGAUCGAAGACGAUCAGAUACCGUCGUAGUCUUAACCAUAAACUAUGCCGACUAGGGAUCGGAUGAUGUUAAUUUUUUAAUGACUCAUUCGGCGCCUUACG
rnacentral:rRNA from 1 species